rfam:Cucumis melo, WGS project CAJI01000000 data, contig: 10127
GGGAGUGUUGUCAAAAGGAUUGACAGACAGUUUCAAUGAACUGUUGCUCUAGUAGCUGAGAGUUCAAGUCUCUCCAUUUCCC